rnacentral:rRNA from 1 species
UUUCGCAAUGCCCGAAAGGGUGACGAAGCGACGCCGCGUGCGGGAAGAAGGCCUUCGGGUUGUAAACCGCUGUCGGGAGUUAAGAAAUGCAAGGGUGUUAACAGCAUCCUUGCUUGACUAAGGCUCCGGAGGAAGCCACGGCUAACUCUGUGCCAGCAGCCGCGGUAAUACAGAGGUGGCAAGCGUUGUUCGGAAUUAUUGGGCGUAAAGAGCACGUAGGCGGCUGUGUAAGUCGGUUGUGAAAGCCUUCCGCUCAACGGGAGAACGGCAUCCGAUACUGCAUGGCUUGAGUGCGGGAGGGGAGAGUGGAACUUCUGGUGGAGCGGUGAAAUGCGUAGAUAUCAGAAGGAACACCGGCGGCGAAGGCGACUCUCUGGCCCGUAACUGACGCUGAGUGUGCGAAAGCUAGGGGAGCAAACGGGAUUAGAUACCCCGGUAGUCCUAGCCGUAAACGAUGGGCACUAAGUAGAGGGGUUUUA